ACCUUCUUACGAAGGUAUGCUUAAAGAGGGGCUUGCGCCACAUUAGUUAGUUGGUAGAGUAAAAGCCUACCAAGACGAUGAUGUGUAGCUGGACUGAGAGGUUGAACAGCCACAUUGGGACUGAGACACGGCCCAAACUCCUACGGGAGGCAGCAGUAGGGAAUUUUCGGCAAUGGAGGAAACUCUGACCGAGCAACGCCGCGUGAACGAUGAAGUAUUUCGGUAUGUAAAGUUCUUUUAUUGAAGAAGAAAAAGUAGUGGAAAAACUAUAUUGACGUUAUUCAAUGAAUAAGCCCCGGCUAACUAUGUGCCAGCAGCCGCGGUAAGACAUAGGGGGCGAGCGUUAUCCGGAAUUAUUGGGCGUAAAGGGUGCGUAGGCUGUUAGAUAAGUCUAUAAUUUAAUUUCAGUGCUUAACGCUGUCUUGUUAUAGAAACUGUCUUGACUAGAGUGAGAUAGAGGCAAGCGGAAUUCCAUGUGUAGCGGUAAAAUGUGUAAAUAUAUGGAGGAACACCAGAAGCGUAGGCGGCUUGCUGGGUCUUUACUGACGCUGAGGCACGAAAGCGUGGGUAGCAAACAGGAUUAGAUACCCUGGUAGUCCACGCCGUAAACGAUGAGUACUAAGUGUCGGGGUAAAACUCGGUACUGAAGUUAACACAUUAAGUACUCCGCCUGAGUAGUACGUACGCAAGUAUGAAACUUAAAGGAAUUGACGGGACUCCGCACAAGCGGUGGAUCAUGUUGUUUAAUUCGAAGAUACACGAAAAAUCUUACCAGGUCUUGACAUACUCUGCAAAGCUAUAGAAAUAUAGUGGAGGUUAUCAGGGAUACAGGUGGUGCAUGGUUGUCGUCAGUUCGUGUCGUGAGAUGUUAGGUUAAGUCCUAAAACGAACGCAACCCUUGUCGUUAAUUGCCAGCACAUAAUGGUGGGGACUUUAACGAGACUGCCAAUUAAACAUUGGAGGAAGGUGAGGAUUACGUCAAAUCAUCAUGCCCCUUAUGAUCUGGGCUACAAACGUGAUACAAUGGCUGUGACAAAGAGUAGCUGAAACGCGAGUUUUUAGCCAAUCUCAAAAAAGCAGUCUCAGUUCGGAUUGAAGUCUGUAACUCGACUUCAUGAAGUUGGAAUCGCUAGUAAUCGCGAAUCAGCAUGUCGCGGUGAAUACGUUCUCGGGGUUUGUACACACCGCCCGUCAAACCACGAAAGUUAGCAAUGCCCGAAAGCAGUAGCUUAACUUCGCAAGAAGAGGGAACUGUCUAAGGUAGG
rnacentral:rRNA from 1 species